ACUUUUAAUGGGCAUUAGCAGCCC
rnacentral:tRNA from 1 species